UACACAAAAACAAGAAACGAAGGAAUUUACGAUCACCUGGUAUAUUUACCUAAUCCUUGUCUUUAAAACUGCAUUGAAAACUGCGGAAUACCCAAGGUUAUUUGAAAGAAAGUAACUUUUUCAAGUACAAUUGAAACAAUGGGGGUUCUCAAUGACAAACGAUGUUGUGGCUUGGCCAAACUCUAACAUAGACAAAGAAGAUAGGAUAAAUGUAAGGUAAGUGUAUGGCUUUAAACCACACGCCUAUAAGGGUAGAUUACCUUACUUCCUGGGUUUUUGCUACAAGAGUUCCAUUUUAAUGUAAAUCUCAAUGUUUAUGUUGGUAAACAUUGUAUAUUUAUUUUAACUGCUUAACCCGAUUGUCUGUCUUAUCCAAGGGACGUAAUUGGUUAUUUUCAAAAACUGAAAAUUAACUUUUUCCCCAUUAUUUUAUCAACAUCAUGGAAUUGCUUCUUAUGUUUACUGCACUGUAGUGUUUUCCAAGUGUUUUUGCUUCUUUCUUAGUUUUAAUGAUAAAUUCAUAUAAACCUCUCAAUACUGUAUUCUAAUAAAAAAAAUUACCCCGUUAUUGUCAUAUUUUAAAGAGAUACAAAUGUACAUCAUUGUACGUCUUAUAAACAAUCAAAUAGCACGGACACGCAGGGCAGUACUUGUAAUCAAGUGAACUUAUAGACAGGCAUAAAGAAAACUACGCGACUGGAACAAAUGAGAACCAGUCUAUGAUAGGGGACCAGUCUAGCCUGAGGUCUGUGAGGUUUACACCCAUCUUUGUGCCGACCAUUGGAGCAGAGUGCGGCAAUUGGAAAAUAUCUUAGUUCAAACACAGAGACGACGGGGAAGUGCAAACAGCAAUCUUUGAAAGGAUAUGGCCUUCUGGGGGGUUUUUCGAAGAAUAAUCAUUGCUUGAAAAUAUGCGUAAAAAAAGUAACCCUGGAAAUAGCCCAGCAACAGAAUAUCUAAUGCCGAUAUUGUUACCUCUUGCUUGGUUGCUCCUUGUGGUUUUUGUGGUAUGCUGUGUCAAAAAGAGGUGGUUCUAUAAAUGCUGCAAAUGUAGAAAAGGGUUGACACAAAAGCAAACGGCUAGCAAUGAAAACAGUCAAGUAUCCGAAAAAGAUCUAAGAAAUCUGGCAAAAUAUCCUAUUUAUACUCUUGGUGAAAACGGAGGCGUUCUUGUCGCGUCUCUGGACGAAACAGUUUUAAAUGGAAGAAACUCUAGAGAUGGUUUAUCAAGGAAUGAACAACCUGAUUGUGGUAAAUAUAGAAAAGAACACAUUUCUGUCGUACCAAACACUACAUACACACUCAUGAUGAACGAUCUAUCAUCAAUCACAGAGACUUCAUAUAUUAGCUCUGAGAGACUUUAAUUUCAGAGUCUACAGUUACGUUUGAUAUGAUCGAAAAGACUGCACAGUUAUUUUCUACAGACAUUGUUUGAAAAUGAUACAAAGGUAAAAGACUAUCAUUAUAUGCCAGCCAAAUAUAGUUGUCGAAUACAGGAGCAGUUGAUGAUUCACUUACCUGUCUACUGCUUGAAUAAAAAAGGCGCAUUGAGCUUGGAACAUUUUUAUGGAAAUUACUAGAAGAUGUACAUCUUUAAAAUCUACUUUGUACAAAGUUACGCUGUUAUUUGCUUGAUACAUAUAUACAUAAAAUUUUUCCAACAUGCAGUGGAGUUAAAAAAUAAAAGGGGGCAUUGAAACGUUAAACGCAACUCCAAAAGAAAGGAAUUUACCUAAUACUAUACCAUGAAACUAAUUUUAUAAAAUGAUUGAGAAAGCUUUUCAUAGCAUUGCUUCAAGGAUGCAUACAUGUAUAAGUAGCUUUUCCUUUUGUGUUGUAUUAAGAUAAACAUUGGAUUUUCAGGGUCCGAUCAACAAAAGGUCCCUGAAACCACAGUAUUAAAAUAGAAAAAAAAAUUCAACUGUAUUGUAGUUAUCUUUUAUCAGUUCUGAGAGACCUUUUUGCAAAUAAGUUUAAUAUUCCACCUUAUGGCAUUUUUGCUGCUAUACAACCCCCCAAUAUUUAAUUACUUUAAAAUCUU